rnacentral:rRNA from 1 species
CAAUAGCGUAUAUUUAAGUUGUUGCAGUUAAAAAGCUCGUAGUUGGAUUUCUGCUGAUCGCUGUCGGUCUGCCGUCAGGUGUGUACUGGCAGUGUUUGGCAUCUAUUCGAGAUUGGGUGUCCACUUGAUUGUGUGCACUCGAUGUCGGAGCUAAUACUUUGAGAAAAUUAGAGUGUUCCACGCAGGCGCGUGCCUUGAAUACUGCAGCAUGGGAUAUUGGUAGGCCGAUUGAGCUUUCUUGUUGGUUCUCGGUUUGAUCGGAAUGAUUAAUAGGGAUAGUUGGGGGCAUUCGUAUUCAACUGUCAGAGGUGAAAUUCUUGGAUUUGUUGAAGACGGACUACUGCGAAAGCAUCUGCCAUGGAUGUUCUCAUUGA